CGCGUAGGCUGUGCUGUAAGUCAGGCGUGAAAGGCCCGGGCUCAACCUGGGAACUGCGCAUGAUACUGCGGCGCUUGAGGGCGGGAGAGGAUGGCGGAAUUCCCAGUGUAGAGGUGAAAUUCGUAGAUAUUGGGAAGAACACCGGUGGCGAAGGCGGCCAUCUGGCCCGCAAUUGACGCUGAGGCGCGAAAGCGUGGGGAGCAAACAGGAUUAGAUACCCUGGUAGUCCACGCCGUAAACGAUGAGUGCUAGACGUCGGGGAGCUUGCUCUUCGGUGUCGCCGCUAACGCAUUAAGCACUCCGCCUGGGGAGUACGGUCGCAAGAUUAAA
rnacentral:rRNA from 1 species